AUUGAACGCUGGCGGCAGGCCUAACACAUGCAAGUCGAACGGUAACAGGAAGAAGCUUGCUUCUUUGCUGACGAGUGGCGGACGGGUGAGUAAUGUCUGGGAAACUGCCUGAUGGAGGGGGAUAACUACUGGAAACGGUAGCUAAUACCGCAUAACGUCGCAAGACCAAAGAGGGGGACCUUCGGGCCUCUUGCCAUCGGAUGUGCCCAGAUGGGAUUAGCUAGUAGGUGGGGUAACGGCUCACCUAGGCGACGAUCCCUAGCUGGUCUGAGAGGAUGACCAGACACACUGGAACUGAGACACGGUCCAGACUCCUACGGGAGGCAGCAGUGGGGAAUAUUGCACAAUGGGAGCAAGCCUGAUGCAGCCAUGCCGCGUGUAUGAAGAAGGCCUUCGGGUUGUAAAGUACUUUCAGCGGGGAGGAAGGGAGUGAAGUUAAUACCUUUGCUCAUUGACGUUACCCGCAGAAGAAGCACCGGCUAACUCCGUG
rnacentral:rRNA from 1 species